AUUGAACGCUGGCGGCAGGCCUAACACAUGCAAGUCGAGCGGAUGAAGGGAGCUUGCUCCUGGAUUCAGCGGCGGACGGGUGAGUAAUGCCUAGGAAUCUGCCCGGUAGUGGGGGAUAACGUCCGGAAACGGGCGCUAAUACCGCAUACGUCCUGAGGGAGAAAGUGGGGGAUCUUCGGACCUCACGCUAUCAGAUGAGCCUAGGUCGGAUUAGCUAGUUGGUGGGGUAAAGGCCUACCAAGGCGACGAUCCGUAACUGGUCUGAGAGGAUGAUCAGUCACACUGGAACUGAGACACGGUCCAGACUCCUACGGGAGGCAGCAGUGGGGAAUAUUGGACAAUGGGCGAAAGCCUGAUCCAGCCAUGCCGCGUGUGUGAAGAAGGUCUUCGGAUUGCAAAGCACUUUAAGUUGGGAGGAAGGGCAGUAAGUUAAUACCUUGCUGUUUUGACGUUACCAACAGAAUAAGCACCGGCUAACUUCGUG
rnacentral:rRNA from 1 species